UACGUAGGGAGCAAGCGUUGUCCGGAAUCAUUGGGCGUAAAGCGCGCGUAGGCGGCCCGGUCAGUCCGUCGUGAAAGUCAAAGGCUCAACCUUUGAAUGUCGAUGGAUACUGCCGGGCUAGAGUCCGGAAGAGGCGAGUGGAAUUCCUGGUGUAGUGGUGGAAUGCGCAGAUAUCAGGAGGAACACCAAUAGCGAAGGCAGCUCGCUGGGACGGUACUGACGCUAAGGCGCGAAAGCGUGGGGAGCGAACAGG
rnacentral:rRNA from 1 species